UACGAAGGGGGCUAGCGUUGCUCGGAAUCACUGGGCGUAAAGCGCACGUAGGCGGCUUUUUAAGUCAGGGGUGAAAUCCUGGAGCUUAACUCCAGAACUGCCUUUGAUACUGAAGAGCUAGAGUCCGGAAGAGGUGAGUGGAACUGCGAGUGUAGAGGUGAAAUUCGUAGAUAUUCGCAAGAACACCAGUGGCGAAGGCGGCUCACUGGUCCGGAACUGACGCUGAGGUGCGAAAGCGUGGGGAGCAAACAGG
rnacentral:rRNA from 1 species